UCAGAAUCAGCGCACAGGAGAAGUGAAGUUUGAGACUUCGAGAAUGAGCCGAAGGGAGACCUUUCUCACUGUCAAGGCGGUGAAGCACAGGCCGCAGAGGGGAGGUGUUUGACCUGGGGGCGCUCAUCACAUGCUGUGCCUAGAAUCGAAGUCCGGGCUCACACCAGACCUCCAAGGCCAGAACCCGAAGACUGGAUCUUCUGAGAACAUCAGAGAAAGACUGUCCUUGCCAUCCGCACUGCAACAAAACUUAGGGAUCUUGAAACUUGGGUUCAUAAUCUCACAACUGAGAAGGGUCCAUCCACACUCCUGGAACUGUACACCCA
rnacentral:lncRNA from 1 species